GCGUAUCCCUAGCGGUGUUCUGGGUUUCAUGAUCACAUUAUUGAUAAACCUGAACUCACGUAUUGUCCUUUAAUUUAAUUUAUUUAUUUGCAGUUCUCGUAAUAAUUAAUGAGAAGGUGUCAACCUUAUGUCAUAUAUUAAAGCCAUGAAAAAAUCAUCAUCAUUAUUAAUAUCAUGUGUUGAAAAAAUGAAUUUUAUGUCGAAAAAUUUUGAUCUACCAGAAAACAUGUUUUAUUUCCACAAUACUGAUUUACAUCCCCUUACAUUUGUACUCAAAUGGGAUUCAAAAGAUAAAUUUUUCUUACGCUUAUUAAAUCGUUAUAUGGGAAAUGUAAUUAAUAAACCAGAUGACCACUCAUUGGUACUUUCUGUACCCAAAAUGAAUAAAUAUUUUCACAAAUUCAUUCCAGCAUUUGAUAUUAAAUAUAUUGAAGAUUGUUUUACACUUAAAGAUUAUCCUGAUCCAACUAAGUAUAUAAUUCACGAUUCAUGUUUGAUAAAUUAUGAAAAAAAUGAUAUCUUUGAUUGUUGGUUCCAUAGAAAAAAAUCUUGGAUUGAUUUUUCACCAAUUCCAAAAAAUAUUUUGAAUUAUUUUGAAAAAGAUUCAUGUUAUAAUGAAAUUUUACCUAGCAAAGAUAUUGAUGAUUUGUGUAGUCAAGCUUCGUCUAAUAGUACAUUAGACUCAAAGAAAAGCAAAGAUAUUGAUGAUUUGUUUAGUCAAGCUCCGUCUAAUAAUACAUUACACUCGAGGAAAAGAACGAGAAUGCCUUACACUAAUCAGGAAGAUUACAAAAUUGUUGAAUAUAUCGUCAAAUAUAAAGGUGCAUUCAAAGUCACUGGUACAGAAAUUUGGCGUCAAAUGGAGCAAGCAAAUUUUACUGGACACCUUAAAAUUUGGCAAUUUUUUUGGGAGACUGUCAUAUUUUAAGUGAAAAAAAUGAUGGUAAAAUUGGAAUUUGGCGCAAAAACUUAGUUUUGUAGUUAUAAUUAAAGUUUAUAACUUAAUAAUAAAAUUCCUAAAUACUCAUUGUUUUUGUAAAAAACUUUAAAAGCGUUGUACAAUGGCAGCAGCAUUGAUUAUUUAUCCAUGGAACCGAGUUCAGAUUUGCAAGAUUCGUACGUGGCAGUCUAUGAAAGAAAGAUACAUAAAAUAUAUUAAGUGGGAUUUAAUUUCAGGAUGUAAAAAAU
rnacentral:misc_RNA from 1 species